ensembl:lncRNA
GGCAAGGGGAACCGUUCAGCAAACCCCGCUUUCCUCGGCGGGGCGCAGGGGCCGGCGGGCGACGCCUGCACACACUCGGCUUUGCGAAGUACAGAGCGCCCGGGCCGAGUGGCGCCCGGGGUGGAGGAGAUCCUACCCGCCCAGCCCUCCUUCGGCCCGGCGGAGAGGGAGUGGGGUGCGCCCCGCCCGCCCCCAGCCCGACUCCGCUGGAAACCUGGGCUCCUCGAGCGCGCGGGGCGGGGAUGCUGCGGGGGCCGGCGGGGCCCCGGGGCAGAUAGGGCCGCCGAGAGGAAGUGCACACGCAGCCAGAGGGAAGCACUCAGGAAGCCUCGGCCCAGAGCUGGAGCGCUUGGGAUUCAAGGUCAUGGCUCCACUUCUCGCUGGCCACCGACAGCCCAUCGAAAGGCCCUGCGGGAGGAAUAUUUUGCAUCGCUGUGGGCAAAAAACUCGAAACCAGCUGUCAACCCAGCGGGUGUGUUCGCUGGUCAGCACUGUUGAGCGCAACUCUGCCUGGUGUUAGGAAGAAAAGUGGUGGCCGCUUUCGAGUCCCCAGGGCUGGUGGUUGACAGGGAGAAGCGCACAGGAUGUUGUCACCCAGGAUCACUAAAGUCACGCACAUGUUACACCGGGCUCAGAGACUUUUACAGGAGCAAAGCAACUGCUUUUCAAUAAUCAGGGCCUGUCAGGAAGACAUCUUCCUUGCUGCCGAGGCCCUCUUCUUCCUAUCCUGGUGUUUGUGCGCCCCUCUCCCCGCCAAACUCAUCUUUUCCAGGGUGUUUUCAUCCCCUGGGUGUGAAUUAAGUGCUUUACAAGAACAUCUUAGUGGAGUGGAUGAAAGAUCAGCAGCCUUAGCUCUAUCUAGUUUUGAAUUGGACUUCUACCCCCCUAGCUUUGUGGUUAUUGGAUGUUUGUCUUCCUUCCUUCUUUUCUCUCUCCCUCCCUCCCUUGUUCUUUCCCUCUGUCCUCCUUCCCUCCCUUUGGCCCUUCCUUCUUUCCUUUCUUUUCAGUCAGUGUUUUGCUAGGUUGCCCAAACUGGCCUUCAAAUCCUGGGCUUCAGAGAUCUUCUUGUCUCAGCCUCCAGUAGCUUCGACUGCAAGUAUCCACUGCCACACCCUGCUUGGUACAGUUCUUCACCUCUGAGAGCCUCAGUUCCUUAAUUUUUAAAAACUGAAUGUGUGAUUUAUUAUAUCUAACAUUGGUCUGUAGGCUGAGUCCCCUACUUCUUGACACGGGCCUAACAAUAGGUUCCUCUCAAGACUGUCAUGGCGAGUGGAUGAACGAGAAAUGAGAAUACAGCCCAGGGGCCCCAGCAGGUUCUGAGGAUAAACACUUUCCUUUCUCUUUGUAGUUAUUGUAUCUGGACUCAGAGUGGGCCCCAUUAACAUAAUAAAGGGUGUUGCAAACUAAUUUUCUUUUAAGGGCUUUAGAAGAACUCUCUGAGAAACUACUGGUGAAUGGCUUGGCAAAGAAAAAUAAAUAAAUGCAGAAAACCAACUAUUUCUUUGGUCUGUACAUCUUUUAUCUGAUACAUGGCAGAGAAACAGGGAAAGAGAACACAGAGUUUUCAGUGUUCUCUCCUGGUCUAUGAGAGUGAAAUGCAGGAAAUGGUCAUUUCUGAAGGACGCACACUGUGGCCUGGUACAGCUUGUCCGGUUGACAGGAGUAUGAGGUUUAGUGAGGGGUGCACGCGAGCCCUGUGGCAGUGGCUCCUGGGGUGUCCUGUGCCCUCACUUCACUCGGAGCUGCUCGCUUGGCUGAGCUCUUGCGCCGCUUCCUCGAUGUGGGCCUUUAGGACUGCAGUGUUGCCCCGAGGACAGGACGCUCAGCCACGAGGCAUUGACCUUGGCCUUCUCUC